UGAGGAAUAUUGGUCAAUGGACGAGAGUCUGAACCAGCCAAGUAGCGUGAAGGAUGACUGCCCUAUGGGUUGUAAACUUCUUUUAUACGGGAAUAAAGUGAGGCACGUGUGCCUUUUGUAUGUACCGUAUGAAUAAGGAUCGGCUAACUCCGUGCCAGCAGCCGCGGUAAUACGGAGGAUCCGAGCGUUAUCCGGAUUUAUUGGGUUUAAAGGGAGCGUAGGCGGACGCUUAAGUCAGUUGUGAAAGUUU
rnacentral:rRNA from 1 species